AAACCUUCUCCAGAUACUGCGGGUCACUUCGGCUCAAACGGGGAGAGAAAGGGAGGGGGGGGGGAGGCUUUCCAUCUCCCCCUCCCUCUCUCUUCCUCUCGCCGGAUCUCUCUGGGGUGCAGGGGGGCUCCUGGCCCUUCCCUCCCCCCCCCCCCCGGGGGGGAGUCGCCUCUCUCCCCUCCGCCGCUGCGGGCGCGCCGCGGAGCCCGGGACGCCGCGCGCAGGGUCCCAAGGAGAAAAGCAGAGAGAACCGGAGGACAGAGCUACCGGCUGGGGUGACAGUGACUGCGGGACCAGCCCUCCCUCUGCGGAAGCCCAGGUUCCGCGCUCAACCCUUCCCAGAACAGCUCCCUCCUUCCCCAACCUGCCUGCAGCGGUAUGCAGAGGAGCCAGGGGCAUGUUAUCUCAGGAACAUAAUGCUAAUAAAUGUGCUCAUAUGUUGGA